GACGAACGCUGGCGGCGUGCUUAACACAUGCAAGUCGAACGGAAAGGCCCUGCCUGCAGGGUACUCGAGUGGCGAACGGGUGAGUAACACGUGGGUGAUCUGCCCUGCACUUCGGGAUAAGCCUGGGAAACUGGGUCUAAUACCGGAUAGGAGCCAUUUUUAGUGUGAUGGUUGGAAAGUUUUUUCGGUGUAGGAUGAGCUCGCGGCCUAUCAGCUUGUUGGUGGGGUAAUGGCCUACCAAGGCGGCUACGGGUAGCCGGCCUGAGAGGGUGGACGGCCACAUUGGGACUGAGAUACGGCCCAGACUCCUACGGGAGGCAGCAGUGGGGAAUAUUGCACAAUGGGCGCAAGCCUGAUGCAGCGACGCCGCGUGGGGGAUGACGGCCUUCGGGUUGUAAACUCCUUUCGCUAGGGACGAAGCUUUUUGUGACGGUACCUAGAUAAGAAGCACCGGCUAACUACGUG
rnacentral:rRNA from 1 species